UCUACCAGGUGUAUUAGAUAAAACAAAAGAGCUUGUCACAUUGGCAACAAAAGGUGGCUUUUUCUUUUUGUUUCGUCCUCCCGGAAGGCUCUGCGCGUCACUCGUCAGAUUCUGUGCCCCGCGAACAAACUAUCCGCGUGGUUCUUUCUGACGGACGGAGCUGCCGAGCGCAGUGAUGUUGCACAGGGCCCUUUGAUAUCUCGCCAAAAAUAAGAUAAGAAUGUGCGCGCUUCCUAGAUUCUGCUGUACGAUAAGCCCCGCCCGCGACCGAAUGGUUGGAUGAUUGGGUGAUUACGCUGAUACCUCCUUCUCCUCCUUCAGUCGCUGCGCAGUCAGAAAAGGCGCUCGUGUGAAUACACGGUUACAGUUUUCUAUUUCUUGUGCGGCAAGCAGUCACAUUUCCACUUUGUCGUUCAUGUGCUACACUGAUAAAGUCUCUGAUACUGCUCAUGCUGUAAGGACCCCAUUCCCCGCAUGUGAAAUGCAGGGAAGAACGCUGUACGGCUGCUGAAAUUCAGCCUCUCCCAUGGAACACCAAUCACAUGCAAAGGCAAUUCCAAGAACUGUACAUUCAUCACAUAAAUUUCGACGCCCGUCACAUUCAAACUACGAUAGAAAUAUAUACAUAUACGUGUGAGCAGCUCUUAAUGGGCUAAAAAACGUGAUGCAUGUUUCCCUACAUGUGUCAUGAAGGCCGUAAAUAAUGGCAAGACGAUACUGUGGUCCGGGGCACGGCUCCGAGGGAACACCGUCCCAUAUGCAACCACAACUGUAUAUUUCAUGUAAACCAAUGCCUCGUUUCAUGUCUUGUGAGAGCAAACGAAGGCUGCAUCCGUGUCGGAUUCCCGGAAUUCUGAGCCUGACGCUGAAAACUGAGACAUACACGUGGCCGAGGGGAAAUCUGCCACGCAAGCCAGUGGCGUAAUCCCUGUCUGUCUGUCUGACCGCUGCAUGCAUAUACAGUUGCAAAGGGCUGUACUCUAGCCGGCAAGGCGCCGGAAACUAACACGCAUGGUUCAUGUUGUCAUUUUAUUGCGAAUAAAAUGAGCUACAAGAUA